rnacentral:rRNA from 1 species
ACCCGCUGAAUUUAAGCAUAUAAGUAAGCGGAGGAAUAGAAACUAAAUAGGAUUCCCUCAGUAAUGGCGAAUGAACAGGGACAAGCUCAGAGUGGAAAUCGUGGCCUUUGGCUUCGAAUUGUGAUCUUACGAUGCAUCACCAGCAGGGGUGUAGGUGUAAGCCUCUUGGAAAAGAGCACCACUGAGGGUGAGAGUCCCAUUCAUCACCUACUGCCCCCAGUGCAUGGUGUGCGUUCUACGAGUCACGCUCCUCGGGAUUGGAGCGCAAAGUGGGUGGUAAAUUUCAUCUAAAGCUGAAUAUGGGUCUGAGACCGAUAGCACACAAGUACCCUGAGGGAAAGGUGAAAAGGACUUUGAAAAGAGAGUUAAACAGAGCCUGCCAUUGCUGAAAGGGAAGCGAACGACACCAGUACGACUUGGCGAGAUCGUUGCGUGCUAAUGUGAGCUUUUGCGAACAGGCUGUGCGUGGCAUUUCUCGCCCUGUCGGUCAAAACUUGUUCGGACACGAGGAAAAGAGCUUUGGGAUGUCAACUCGCCCUCGGGUGUGUGAAUACCUUAGCUGAUACUCGUGUGCGUACAGGUCUUUGGCUAUAUGGUUUCUUUCGACCCGUCUUGAAACACGGACCAAGGAGUCUAACAUAUGUGCGAGUUUGCAGGCUGUUAAACCUGUUGGCGCAAUGAAAAUGACUGCUAGGAAUUGUGCACUAGCAACCGACCAAUCACAUGAGAAAGGUUUGAGUAUGAGCAUGUCUGUUAGGACCCGAAAGAUGGUGAACUAUGCCCGUGAAGGGCAAACUCAGGGGAAACUCUGAUGGGAGGCCCGUAGCGAUACUGACGUGCAAAUCGUUCGUCAUACAUGGGUAUGGGGGCGAAAGACUAAUCGAACCAUCUAGUAGCUGGUUCCCUCCGAAGUUUCCCUCAGGAUAGCUGGAGU